rnacentral:rRNA from 1 species
CUUGCUUUCUUUGCCGGCGACCGGCGCACGGGUGAGUAACACGUAUCCAACCUGCCCUUUACUCGGGGAUAGCCUUUCGAAAGAAAGAUUAAUACCCGAUAGCAUAAUGAUUCCGCAUGGUUUCAUUAUUAAAGGAUUCCGGUAAAGGAUGGGGAUGCGUUCCAUUAGGUUGUUGGCGGGGUAACGGCCCACCAAGCCUUCGAUGGAUAGGGGUUCUGAGAGGAAGGUCCCCCACAUUGGAACUGAGACACGGUCCAA